rnacentral:lncRNA from 1 species
CUUCGUCUUUACAUGUGUCAGCAUCUCGUUCCUGUAUUGGAUUACCCCUGUGUUUCGAUGAUUAAAAGACUAUCGAUUGUACUCCACGUUUCUCUCGUCCUUCCGACAGUGUCCAUCUGUGUUUCUCUCUCUUCCUCUGUGCUACACGCUGAAGAACAGGAUCCUACACGCAGAUCUCAUCAGGUGCUUGUCCCGCUGAGAGACUCCACAGGGCCCUGAAGCCGCCUCCUAAAUACGCCACCAAUCGUCACUGGAGUACCACCACCUAGACAGGAGUAAGGAGUGA